AUACAUGCAAGUCGAACGAGCUUCCGUUGAAUGACGUGCUUGCACUGAUUUCAACAAUGAAGCGAGUGGCGAACUGGUGAGUAACACGUGGGGAAUCUGCCCAGAAGCAGGGGAUAACACUUGGAAACAGGUGCUAAUACCGUAUAACAACAAAAUCCGCAUGGAUUUUGUUUGAAAGGUGGCUUCGGCUAUCACUUCUGGAUGAUCCCGCGGCGUAUUAGUUAGUUGGUGAGGUAAAGGCCCACCAAGACGAUGAUACGUAGCCGACCUGAGAGGGUAAUCGGCCACAUUGGGACUGAGACACGGCCCAAACUCCUACGGGAGGCAGCAGUAGGGAAUCUUCCACAAUGGACGAAAGUCUGAUGGAGCAAUGCCGCGUGAGUGAAGAAGGGUUUCGGCUCGUAAAACUCUGUUGUUAAAGAAGAACACCUUUGAGAGUAACUGUUCAAGGGUUGACGGUAUUUAACCAGAAAGCCACGGCUAACUACGUGCCAGCAGCCGCGGUAAUACGUAGGUGGCAAGCGUUGUCCGGAUUUAUUGGGCGUAAAGCGAGCGCAGGCGGUUUUUUAAGUCUGAUGUGAAAGCCUUCGGCUUAACCGGAGAAGUGCAUCGGAAACUGGGAGACUUGAGUGCAGAAGAGGACAGUGGAACUCCAUGUGUAGCGGUGGAAUGCGUAGAUAUAUGGAAGAACACCAGUGGCGAAGGCGGCUGUCUAGUCUGUAACUGACGCUGAGGCUCGAAAGCAUGGGUAGCGAACAGGAUUAGAUACCCUGGUAGUCCAUGCCGUAAACGAUGAGUGCUAAGUGUUGGAGGGUUUCCGCCCUUCAGUGCUGCAGCUAACGCAUUAAGCACUCCGCCUGGGGAGUACGACCGCAAGGUUGAAACUCAAAGGAAUUGACGGGGGCCCGCACAAGCGGUGGAGCAUGUGG
rnacentral:rRNA from 1 species